CAGUCGCCACGGGAAUACGGAGGGUGCAAGCGUUAAUCGGAAUUACUGGGCGUAAAGCGCACGCAGGCGGUCUGUCAAGUCAGAUGUGAAAUCCCCGGGCUUAACCUGGGAACUGCAUUUGAAACUGGCAGGCUGGAGUCUUGUAGAGGGGGGUAGAAUUCCAGGUGUAGCGGUGAAAUGCGUAGAGAUCUGGAGGAAUACCGGUGGCGAAGGCGGCCCCCUGGACAAAGACUGACGCUCAGGUGCGAAAGCGUGGGGAGCAAACAGGAUUAGAUACCCCGGUAGUCCCUGUCUCUUAUAC
rnacentral:rRNA from 1 species